AUUGAACGCUGGCGGCAGGCCUAACACAUGCAAGUCGAACGAGUGGCGGACGGGUGAGUCAUGUCUGGGCAACUGCCUGAUGGAGGGGGAUAACUACUGGAAACGGUAGCUACUACCGCAUACCAUCAGAUGUGCCCAGAUGGGAUUAGCUAGUGGGGGGGGAAACGGCUCACCAAGGGGACGAUCCCUAGCUGGUCUGAGAGGAUGACCAGCCACACUGGAACUGAGACACGGCCCAGACUCCUACGGGAGGCAGCAGUGGGGAAUAUUGCACAAUGGGCGCAAGCCUGACGCAGCCAUGCAGCGUGUAUGAAGAAGGCCUUAGGGUUGUAAAGUACUUUCAGCGGGGAGGCGUUACCCGCAGAAGAAGCACCGGCUAACUCCGUGCCAGCAGCCGCGGUAAUUC
rnacentral:rRNA from 1 species